rnacentral:rRNA from 1 species
ACGGCUCAGUAACACGUGGAUAACCUGCCCUAGGGGAGGGGAUAACCCCGGGAAACUGGGGAUAAUACCCUAUAGGUUACAGAUGCUGGAAUGCCCUGUAACCAAAAGCUCCGGCGCCCUAGGAUGGAUCUGCGGCCGAUUAGGUUGUUGUUGGGGUAACGGCCCAACAAGCCCGUAAUCGGUACGGGUUGUGGGAGCAAGAGCCCGGAGUUGGAUUCUGAGACACGAAUCCAGGCCCUACGGGGCACAGCAGGCGCGAAACCUUUACAAUGCGGGCAACCGUGAUAAGGGAACCUCGAGUGCCUGUAAACGCAGGCUGUUCAGGUGUUUAAAACGCACCUGGAGAAAGGGCCGGGCAAGACCGGUGCCAGCCGCCGCGGUAAUACCGGCGGCUCGAGUGGUGGCCGCUUUUAUUGGGCUUAAAGCGUUCGUAGCUGGGUUGUUAAGUCUCUUGGGAAAUCUGGCGGCUUAACCGUCAGGCGUCUAAGGGAUACUGGCAAUCUUGGAACCGGGAGAGGUGAGGGGUACUUCGGGGGUAGGGGUGAAAUCCUGUAAUCCUCGAGGGACCACCUGUGGCGAAGGCGCCUCACCAGAACGGCUUCGACAGUGAGGGACGAAAGCUGGGGGAGCAAACCGGAUUAGAUACCCGGGUAGUCCCAGCCGUAAACGAUGCGCGUUAGGUGUAUCGGUGACCACGAGUUACCGAGGUGCCGAAGGGAAACCGUGAAACGCGCCGCCUGGGAAGUACGGUCGCAAGGCUGAAACUUAAAGGAAUUGGCGGGGGAG